rnacentral:rRNA from 1 species
UGUUGCUUGCAAGGGCGUAUGGUGGAUGCCUUGGCAGACAGGACCGAUGAAGGACGUUUGAGGCUGCGAUAUGCCUCGGGGAGCCGCCAACAGGGCUUUGAUCCGAGGAUUUCCGAAUGGGGGAACCCACCGACCGUCAUGGGUCGGUACCGGCUUCGGCCGGGGGGUACGCAGGGAAGUGAAACAUCUCAGUACCUGCAGGAAAGGAUAUUCCGUGAGUAGUGGCGAGCGAAAGCGGAUGAUGGCCAAACCUUGCGCGUGUGAUACCCGUCGGGGGUUGCGCGCGGGGUGUUGCGGGAUCGCGUGCGCCGGCUCCGACGGGCCGGCCGGCAGUUGCAGAAAACCAUGUGUCAGGGGAACCGGGUUGAAUACCGGGCCGCAGAGGGUGAGGGCCCCGUACCUGAACGCGCAUGGUCUGCCGAUCGCGUCUCCCAAGUAGCACGGGUCCCGUGGAACCCCGUGCGAAUCCGCCCAGACCGUUGGGUAAGCCUGAAUAUUCCUGUCUGACCGAUAGCGAACGAGUACCGUGAGGGAAAGGUGAAAAGUACCCCGGGAGGGGAGUGAAACAGUCUCUGAAACCGUGCGCCUACAAUCCGUCGGAGCCCUUUUGUGGGGUGACGGCGUGCCUAUCGAAAAAUGAGUCUGCGAGUCAGUGGCAUGUGGCGAGCAUAACCCGUGUGGGGUAUGCGUAGCGAAGGCGAGUCUUAAAAGGCGUUUGAGUCGCGUGUCCUGGACCCGAAGCGGGAUGAUCUAGCCCUGAGCAGGUUGAAGCGCGGGUAAGACCGCGUGGAGGACCGAACCCACCUGGGUUGAAAACCGGGGGGAUGACUUGGGGCUAGGGGUGAAAGGCCAAUCAAAUUCCGUGAUAGCUGGUUCUCUCCGAAAUGCAUUUAGGUGCAGCGUCGGGGAUUACGUCCGGGGGGUAGAGCUACUGGAUGCUUGCGGGCCCGUAUCGGGUACCAACAGCAACCAAACUCCGAAUACCGGUGACGCGUAUCCCGGCAGUGAGUCGGCGGGGGAUAAGCUUCGUCGUCGAAAGGGAAACAGCCCAGACCGUCGUCUAAGGUCCCGAAGCGUGUGCUAAGUGGGAAAGGAUGUGGAGUCGCAUAGACAGCCAGGAGGUUGGCUCAGAAGCAGCCACCCUUGAAAGAGUGCGUAACAGCUCACUGGUCUAGUGGUUCCGCGCCGACAAUGUAGCGGGGCUCAAGCACACCACCGAAGACGCGGCAGUAUUUUGUACUGGGUAGGAGAGCGUCCCAUGAGGGGCGAAGCGGCCGUGUGAACGCGCCGUGGACUUCAUGGGAGUGAGAAUGCAGACAUGAGUAGCGAGAGACGGGUGAAGAUCCCGUCCGCUGGAUGACCAAGGGUUCCAGGGCCACGUUCAUCGUCCCUGGGUGAGUCGGGUCCUAAGGCGAGGCCGACAGGCGUAGUCGAAUGGAUGAACGGGUCGAUAUUCCCGUACCGGCUUUCAGCCGCCAAAACCGAGGCUUGGAGUACUAACCUCCGGGUCCGGGCUUACUGCUCCUUCGGGGGCGGGAUGCCCUGGCCUGUUGGGACCGAUCCUUGUAGUAGGUCAGCGCAGGAGUGACGCAGAAGGGUAGCCGGCCGCGGAGGUGGUCUUCCGUGGUCAAGCACGCAGGGCGUGGGACAGGCAAAUCCGUCCCGCAUGGGUCCGAGGUGCGAUGAUGGGGGCCUUAUGGCCCGAUAUCCGGUGAUCCCGGCUGCCGAGAAAAGCUUCGGCGUCAGGCUCGAAGCCGCCCGUACCCCAAACCGACACUGGUGGUCAGGUAGAGAAUACCAAAGCGAUCGAGCGAAUCCUGGUCAAGGAACUCGGCAAAUCACUCCCGUUCCUUCGGUUUAAGGGAGACCCCCGAUGGUGAACACACUUGCUGUGGGAGCUUUUGGGGGUGGCACAGACCAGGGGGUAGCGACUGUUUACCAAAAACACAGGUGCAUGCGAAGGCGAAAGCCGCUGUAUAUGCACUGACGCCUGCCCGGUGCCGGAAGGUUAAGAGGAUCCGUCAGUCCCUUCGGGAUGAAGCGGUGAAUUCAAGCCCCGGUAAACGGCGGUGGUAACUAUAACCAUCCUAAGGUAGCGAAAUUCCUUGUCGGGUAAGUUCCGACCUGCACGAAUGGCGUAACGAUCUCCACACUGUCUCGGCCAGAGACUCGGUGAAAUUGAAGUCGCGGUGAAAAUGCCGUGUACCCGCAGAAAGACGGAAAGACCCUGUGCACCUUUACUAUAGCUUGACAUUGGGAUUUGAGCCUGCAUGUGUAGCAUAGGUGGGAGGCUGUGAACUCUGUACGCCAGUAUGGAGGGAGCCAUCGUUGAAAUACCACCCUUGUUUGUUCAGGUCCCUAACUCCUUGCCGUGAUCCGGUAGGAGGACAGUGUCUGGUGGGUAGUUUGACUGGGGCGGUCGCCUCCCAAAAUGUAACGGAGGCAUGCAAAGGUUCCCUCAGGCUGAUUGGAAACCAGCCGUCGAGUGCAAACGCAAAAGGGAGCUUGACUGCAAGAGAGACAUCUCGAGCAGGUACGAAAGUAGGUGUUAGUGAUCCGGUGAUCCCGAAUGGAAGGGUCAUCGCUCAUUGGAUAAAAGGUACGCCGGGGAUAACAGGCUGAUCGCAUCCAAGAGUUCACAUCGACGAUGCGGUUUGGCACCUCGAUGUCGGCUCAUCACAUCCUGGGGCUGAAGCAGGUCCCAAGGGUUCGGCUGUUCGCCGAUUAAAGUGGUACGCGAGCUGGGUUUAGAACGUCGUGAGACAGUUCGGUCCCUAUCUGCCGUGGGCGCAGGAGAUUUGAGAGGAGCUGCUCUUAGUACGAGAGGACCAGAGUGGACGAACCGCUGGUGUACCGGUUGUAUCGCCAGAUGCAUUGCCGGGUAGCUACGUUCGGAUAGAAUAACCGCUGAAAGCAUCUAAGCGGGAACCCCCCCUCAAGAUGAGAUCUCCCAAGGUUUUAACCUAAGAAGACACCUUAAAGACCAUGAGGUCGAUAGGCAAGCCGUGUACGUAGGGUAACCUAUUUAGCGGACUUGUACUAAUCAGUCGUUCGGCUUAGUCAC